UACGUAGGGUGCAAGCGUUGUCCGGAAUUAUUGGGCGUAAAGAGCUCGUAGGCGGUUUGUCGCGUCUGCUGUGAAAACUGGAGGCUCAACCUUCAGCCUGCAGUGGGUACGGGCAGACUAGAGUGCGGUAGGGGAGAUUGGAAUUCCUGGUGUAGCGGUGGAAUGCGCAGAUAUCAGGAAGAACACCGAUGGCGAAGGCAGCCCCCUGGGUCGAUACUGGCGCUCAUGCGCGAAAGCGUGGGGAGCAAACAGG
rnacentral:rRNA from 1 species